CCAGAAUGCUGGUCAGCUCCUGUUCCCCAGCACUCUGUCACAGGGCUGAACUGGGCCAAUGCAAAACUUGUGUUGAUUUCACGGGAACCUUUCUGUAGCAACAUGGAUACAAACAGCCUACACUGAUCUUUUCCUGGGCCAAGGGACGUUGUCUUCAAAGGUCCCAACUGAGACAAAGGAAAGACACCCCCUGACUCCAGCGGGGUUUGGAUGAGGCCCCUGGUCAAUUGGAUGGAAAUUCACAGUGCCUGGGAUGGAUGGGAGUGUGCCAGCCUCCAGCUGCAGGCUCUGUGUCUUUGUGCAUUAGGGACAAAAACCUAUCUGUGCACGAGUACCUUGACAGAAAGGGAGAACAGAGGGAAAAUGCAGGCCUGCGGCUUCUCAUCCAAACGAAGCCACACAAAAGAAGAAGCUAACACAGUGGAAAACGUCAUGUCUGCAAAGCACCAAGGAGGAAAUCAACACAACUUUAAGAGGUAGCAGACAGGGAAUAGAUUACAGCACUUUUAAAUGAAAGGUGUUAUGGGGCUCCUGGAGGGAACCGGCUGGGAGUAAGAAAGAAGUUCAGUGUAGUUAGACUCACUGCACUCGUGAAUCACCUACACUGUUUGGGUCCAUUAAGCCUUUGUCUUACAACGCCCUCAAAAUGCAGACAGAAUUGUUCAGUAUCGUUGACAGCCUGUUUAUCCAAU